GACCACAUUAUCAUAAACCUUCAAAAAAAACACCAAGUGCAGUAGCGACCGCUCCAAACGCGUGGACAACAAUGCAAAAAUUAAUCCAGCAAUCCCUAUCGUUCUUUUUAUGGUGAUACACGGCGUGAGCCACAAUAGCCCAUCCUUCUCUUUGCUCAUGAGACCCAGCAUGAUUUUGUUGUUGCCUCUCUUCCCGUCCCUCUCCAUCGUACAACGGCAACAGCAAAAAACAACCAAGCAAGGAACACAUUUUUGUCCUUGAUGGCGUGAGAUGGAGACACGCAUGACACCAAGGACGAUCGAUUUCAUCUCAACCGUCCGCCCCCUUUCCCUUUCAGGAACAAGGUCAAAAAUUUCAAAAUUGAAAGAUGAGCCUUUUCUCAUUCAGAUUUUAGUCCGUUUCCCCCCAACUUUUCCAACCCUAACUUUCCCCCACUAUAUAAUCACUUUUCUUUCACUGUAGGAGGGGGGAUUUUUUUUUAGUUGAAAAUUUGGAGGUUGAGAAUCUUUCUUUCCGAAACAAAAUAUAUGCAGAGAGUAUCAAAAGAAGUAGGAAACUACGUAUUAAGCUUUGGAGCAUAGUUAAUCCUUAUCGAAGUUUUCUCCGUUCCACUUCGUAUCGGAAUUUUAGCAAAAGUUUUGUUGUCCGUUUUCGGUAUUCGGUGGUGGCGAAGCCUCCAAGCUCGCUCUCAUCCCAGUUCGGCUUCCCAAAAAAGGAUUCUAUUUUCACUCCUUGCAUUUUCUUGUUGAGCCACAAAGGUUCAAACUAUGCCUUUUCGAGUCAACUAGUCAUCUAUUUGACGAACAGGUUUCGGAGUCGAAAUUCGGAGUAGAUUGGAGAUUUGAAGGAAGAUCGGACCAAAGGGGCCAUUUUAUUUUUAAACAUUGUAUCUUGUUAUUUUUGGGCCUAAGCCCUUAUCUUUUGUCAUUAUUAUUUGGAAAAAUUAGCACUCUAGUCAAAAUCAAUAACUUAAUUAGUAAAAAACUCACUACUUUAAAAAUAUUAGUUAAAGUGUCAAAAAUGUCAUUAUUUUGAAAAAAAAUAUGUAUCCUAAUUAAACCCCUAUUUCAUCUCCUAAAAAAUAAUUUAUUUACAUUUCUAUGUAUAUCUGUAGUGUACUUUUCCCAAGUUAUUUUAAUUUUAAAAAAAUCAAAAUCUGCAAAUUUUUCCCAUAUUUAUCCCAUAAGUAAAAAAAAAUAAAAUUCUCUAUCCAUAUUUUCAUGUUCAUAUUCCUAUUCAACCUUCAAAUUCUUUUUCUAUUCAACUCCAAUUUUUUUAUUUUCUACCAAAAUGUUUUUUUUAUCUUCAAAAAAUGGAUUCACACAAAUUCCUCUAAUUUAGGUAUUUUCAUCGUUAUCUUUUUCUUCUUUUUUUAUUUUCUGAUUUUAUUGUUGUUCAAAUCAUUGGUGAAAGUAGGAUUCUUCUUGUUUAGAACUAUAAAACACUCUUCAAAGAAUGAUUCUAAGAGACACUAUUCAUCUUAAUAAAACGGUUUUUAGUGAUUUUCCA